GAAUCCCGUCCACCGAUUGACUAAGGUUUCCAGAGGAAGGCUCGUCCGCUCUGGGUUAGUCGGGUCCUAAGCUGAGGCCGACAGGCGUAGGCGAUGGAUAACAGGUUGAUAUUCCUGUACCACCUAUAAUCGUUUUAAUCGAUGGGGGGACGCAGUAGGAUAGGCGAAGCGUGCGAUUGGAUUGCACGUCUAAGCAGUAAGGCUGAGUAUUAGGCAAAUCCGGUACUCGUUAAGGCUGAGCUGUGAUGGGGAGAAGACAUUGUGUCUUCGAGUCGUUGAUUUCACACUGCCGAGAAAAGCCUCUAGAUAGAAAAUAGGUGCCCGUACCGCAAACCGACACAGGUAGUCAAGAUGAGAAUUCUAAGGUGAGCGAGCGAACUCUCGUUAAGGAACUCGGCAAAAUGACCCCGUAACUUCGGGAGAAGGGGUGCUCUUUAGGGUUAACGCCCAGAAGAGCCGCAGUGAAUAGGCCCAAGCGACUGUUUAUCAAAAACACAGGUCUCUGCUAAACCGUAAGGUGAUGUAUAGGGGCUGACGCCUGCCCGGUGCUGGAAGGUUAAGAGGAGUGGUUAGCUUCUGCGAAGCUACGAAUCGAAGCCCCAGUAAACGGCGGCCGUAACUAUAACGGUCCUAAGGUAGCGAAAUUCCUUGUCGGGUAAGUUCCGACCCGCACGAAAGGCGUAACGAUUUGGGCACUGUCUCAACGAGAGACUCGGUGAAAUCAUAGUACCUGUGAAGAUGCAGGUUACCCGCGACAGGACGGAAAGACCCCGUGGAGCUUUACUGUAGCCUGAUAUUGAAAUUCGGCACAGCUUGUACAGGAUAGGUAGGAGCCUUUGAAACGUGAGCGCUAGCUUACGUGGAGGCGCUGGUGGGAUACUACCCUAGCUGUGUUGGCUUUCUAACCCGCACCACUUAUCGUGGUGGGAGACAGUGUCAGGCGGGCAGUUUGACUGGGGCGGUCGCCUCCUAAAAGG
rnacentral:rRNA from 1 species